rnacentral:rRNA from 1 species
GAUGAACGCUAGCGACAGGCUUAACACAUGUAAGUCGAGGGGCAGCGGGGGCGUAGCAAUAUGCCUGCCGGCGACCGGCGCACGGGUGAGUAACACGUAUGUAACCUGCCCUAUGCAGGGGGAUAACCCGGAGAAAUCCGGCCUAAUACCGCGUAAUACCUUAGGGGAGCAUUCUCUUGAGGUUAAAGGAGAGAUCCGGCAUAGGAUGGACAUGCGUCGCAUUAGGUAGACGGCGGGGUAACGGCCCACCGUGCCGACGAUGCGUAGGGGUUCUGAGAGGAAGGCCCCCCACACUGGUACUGAGACACGGACCAGACUCCUACGGGAGGCAGCAGUGAGGAAUAUUGGUCAAUGGCCGAGAGGCUGAACCAGCCAAGUCGCGUGAGGGAAGAAUGUCCUAAGGAUUGUAAACCUCUUUUGUCGGGGAGCAAAAAGGCUCUGCGGAGUCGUAUUGAGAGUACCCGAAGAAAAAGCAUCGGCUAACUCCGUGCCAGCAGCCGCGGUAAUACGGAGGAUGCGAGCGUUAUCCGGAUUUAUUGGGUUUAAAGGGUGCGCAGGCGGCGCGUCAAGCAAGCGGUAAAAUAGCGGGGCUCAACCCCGUCGAGCCGUUUGAACUGGCGCGCUUGAGUUCAGGCGAGGUAGGCGGAAUUCGUGGUGUAGCGGUGAAAUGCAUAGAUAUCACGAAGAACUCCGAUUGCGAAGGCAGCUUACCAGUCUGCGACUGACGCUCAGGCACGAAAGUGUGGGUAUCGAACAGGAUUAGAUACCCUGGUAGUCCACACAGUAAACGAUGAGCGCUAGGUGUCCGGGUCGAAUGAGGCUUGGGUGCCCGAGCGAAAGCGUUAAGCGCUCCACCUGGGGAGUACGCCGGCAACGGUGAAACUCAAAGGAAUUGACGGGGGCCCGCACAAGCGGAGGAACAUGUGGUUUAAUUCGAUGAUACGCGAGGAACCUUACCCGGGCUCAAACGACUCAGGAAUAUAUUGGAAACGAUGUAGCCAGCAAUGGUCUGAGUCGAGGUGCUGCAUGGUUGUCGUCAGCUCGUGCCGUGAGGUGUCGGCUUAAGUGCCAUAACGAGCGCAACCCCUACCGCCAGUUGCCAACGGGUAAAGCCGGGAACUCUGGCGGGACUGCCGGCGCAAGCUGCGAGGAAGGCGGGGAUGACGUCAAAUCAGCACGGCCCUUACGUCCGGGGCGACACACGUGUUACAAUGGCAGGUACAGCGGGAAGCCACCUGGUGACAGGGAGCGGAACCCGAAAGCCUGUCUCAGUUCGGAUUGGAGUCUGCAACUCGACUCCAUGAAGCUGGAUUCGCUAGUAAUCGCGCAUCAGCCAUGGCGCGGUGAAUA